rnacentral:lncRNA from 1 species
GAGAGGGGACUCAGCAUGUGCCCCUGGGCAGCCUCCUUGGGGCACUUCUGUGAUGAAAGCGGAGCCCGAGAGACUACUACAUAUUUCUUUUUUCUUUUUCUUUUUCUUUUUUCUUUUCUUUUCUUUCUUUCUUUUUNNNNNNNNNNNNNNNNNNNNNNNNNNNNNNNNNNNNNNNAAAAAAAAAAAAAAAAAAAAAAAACCCCAAAACUAUCGGGGCAUGGUGGCAGGCACCUGUAAUCCCAGCGACUCAGGAGGCUGAGGCAGGAGAAUAGUUUAAGCCAGGCAGAAGCUUAAACCAGGGAGGCAGAAAUUGCAGUGAGCCAAGGUCACACCACUGCACUCCAGCCUGCGCAACAAGUAGACUUGGGGUUUCACCAUAUUGGCCAGGCUGGUCUCACACUCCUGACCUCAAGUGAUCCACCUGCCUUAGCCUCCCAAAGUGCUGAGAUUACAGGCGUAAGCCACCAUGCGAAACAGCAAUGUCAAGAGACAUACCCUUCUCUGCAAAAGUUUUAAUUUCUUUCUUUCUUUUUUUUGAGAUGCAGUCUCACUCUGUUACCCAGGCUGGAGUGCAGUGGCACCAUCUCAGCUCACUGCAACCUCCAUUUCCUGGGUUCAAGUGAUUCUCCUGCCUCAGCCUCCCAAAGAGCUGGGAUUACAGGCGCAUGCCACCAUGCCCAACUAAUUUUAGUAUUUCUAGUAGAGACGGGUUUUCGCCAUGUUGGCCAGGCUGGUAAAUGAAAGCAAUGUGCAGAAAGAUGCAAGUGGAAAGUUGUUCAUUUUGUACUGUCUGUACCAGAGAAAAAUGUUCAGUAGUACAGGUAUGGCUGAAUAGAAAAAUACAUCCAUGAUAAGGAGUACUAUAAAACAGUUAAAAAUAACUAAGUUGGUCCCUAAAUGUGAUAAUACAGAAAGUGCUCCAAGAAAUAUUAGUGAGUGAAAAAAAAUCAAGGUUCAGAGUAAUAUAUACAUCAUGGUCCCCUUGUAUAAAAUGGAAACAAAGCCAAAAUAACUAUAUGUUUUAUACUGAUAAACACA